rnacentral:rRNA from 1 species
GUUAACGAGGCGAACCGGGGGAACUGAAACAUCUAAGUACCCCGAGGAAAAGAAAUCAACCGAGAUUCCCCCAGUAGCGGCGAGCGAACGGGGAGCAGCCCAGAGUCUGAAUCAGCUUGUGUGUUAGUGGAACGGUCUGGAAAGUCCGACGGUACAGGGUGAUAGUCCCGUACACCAAAAUGCACAGGCUGUGAACUCGAAGAGUAGGGCGGGACACGUGGUAUCCUGUCUGAAUAUGGGGGGACCAUCCUCCAAGGCUAAAUACUCCUGACUGACCGAUAGUGAACCAGUACCGUGAGGGAAAGGCGAAAAGAACCCCGGCGAGGGGAGUGAAAAAGAACCUGAAACCGUGUACGUACAAGCAGUGGGAGCACCUUCGGGUGUGACUGCGUACCUUUUGUAUAAUGGGUCAGCGACUUAUAUUCUGUAGCAAGGUUAACCGUAUAGGGGAGCCGCAGGGAAACCGAGUCUUAACUGGGCGUUAAGUUGCAGGGUAUAGACCCGAAACCCGGUGAUCUAGCCAUGGGCAGGUUGAAGGUUGGGUAACACUAACUGGAGGACCGAACCGACUAAUGUUGAAAAAUUAGCGGAUGACUUGUGGCUGGGGGUGAAAGGCCAAUCAAACCGGGAGAUAGCUGGUUCUCCCCGAAAGCUAUUUAGGUAGCGCCUCGUGAACUCAUCUUCGGGGGUAGAGCACUGUUUCGGCUAGGGGGUCAUCCCGACUUACCAACCCGAUGCAAACUACGAAUACCGAAGAAUGUUAUCACGGGAGACACACGGCGGGUGCUAACGUCCGUCGUGAAGAGGGAAACAACCCAGACCGCCAGCUAAGGUCCCAAAGUCAUGGUUAAGUGGGAAACGAUGUGGGAAGGCACAGACAGCCAGGAUGUUGGCUUAGAAGCAGCCAUCAUUUAAAGAAAGCGUAAUAGCUCACUGGUCGAGUCGGCCUGCGCGGAAGAUGUAACGGGGCUAAACCAUGCACCGAAGCUGCGGCAGCGACACUAUGUGUUGUUGGGUAGGGGAGCGUUCUGUAAGCCUGCGAAGGUGACCUGUGAGGGUUGCUGGAGGUAUCAGAAGUGCGAAUGCUGACAUAAGUAACGAUAAAGCGGGUGAAAAGCCCGCUCGCCGGAAGACCAAGGGUUCCUGUCCAACGUUAAUCGGGGCAGGGUGAGUCGACCCCUAAGGCGAGGCCGAAAGGCGUAGUCGAUGGGAAACAGGUUAAUAUUCCUGUACUUGGUGUUACUGCGAAGGGGGGACGGAGAAGGCUAUGUUAGCCGGGCGACGGUUGUCCCGGUUUAAGCAUGUAGGCUGGUUAUCCAGGCAAAUCCGGAUAAUCAAGGCUGAGGUGUGAUGACGAGGCACUACGGUGCUGAAGUAACAAAUGCCCUGCUUCCAGGAAAAGCCUCUAAGCAUCAGGUAACAUCAAAUCGUACCCCAAACCGACACAGGUGGUCAGGUAGAGAAUACCAAGGCGCUUGAGAGAACUCGGGUGAAGGAACUAGGCAAAAUGGUGCCGUAACUUCGGGAGAAGGCACGCUGGUGUGUAGGUGAAGCCCCUGCGGGUGGAGCUGAGACCAGUCGAAGAUACCAGCUGGCUGCAACUGUUUAUUAAAAACACAGCACUGUGCAAACACGAAAGUGGACGUAUACGGUGUGACGCCUGCCCGGUGCCGGAAGGUUAAUUGAUGGGGUUAUCCGUAAGGAGAAGCUCUUGAUCGAAGCCCCGGUAAACGGCGGCCGUAACUAUAACGGUCCUAAGGUAGCGAAAUUCCUUGUCGGGUAAGUUCCGACCUGCACGAAUGGCGUAAUGAUGGCCAGGCUGUCUCCACCCGAGACUCAGUGAAAUUGAACUCGCUGUGAAGAUGCAGUGUACCCGCGGCAAGACGGAAAGACCCCGUGAACCUUUACUAUAGCUUGACACUGAACAUUGAGCCUUGAUGUGUAGGAUAGGUGGGAGGCUUUGAAGCGUGGACGCCAGUCUGCGUGGAGCCAACCUUGAAAUACCACCCUUUAAUGUUUGAUGUUCUAACGUUGGCCCCUUAUCGGGGUUGCGGACAGUGUCUGGUGGGUAGUUUGACUGGGGCGGUCUCCUCCCAAAGCGUAACGGAGGAGCACGAAGGUUAGCUAAUCCUGGUCGGACAUCAGGAGGUUAGUGCAAUGGCAUAAGCUAGCUUGACUGCGAGCGUGACGGCGCGAGCAGGUGCGAAAGCAGGUCAUAGUGAUCCGGUGGUUCUGAAUGGAAGGGCCAUCGCUCAACGGAUAAAAGGUACUCCGGGGAUAACAGGCUGAUACCGCCCAAGAGUUCAUAUCGACGGCGGUGUUUGGCACCUCGAUGUCGGCUCAUCACAUCCUGGGGCUGAAGUAGGUCCCAAGGGUAUGGCUGUUCGCCAUUUAAAGUGGUACGCGAGCUGGGUUUAGAACGUCGUGAGACAGUUCGGUCCCUAUCUGCCGUGGGCGCUGGAGAAUUGAGGGGGGCUGCUCCUAGUACGAGAGGACCGGAGUGGACGCAUCACUGGUGUUCGGGUUGUCAUGCCAAUGGCACUGCCCGGUAGCUAAAUGCGGAAGAGAUAAGUGCUGAAAGCAUCUAAGCACGAAACUUGCCCCGAGAUGAGUUCUCCCUGAGACUUUAAGUCUCCUGAAGGAACGUUAAAGACGAUGACGUUGAUAGGCCGGGUGUGUAAGCGCAGCGAUGCGUUGAGCUAACCGGUACUAAUGAACCGUGAGGCUUAACCUU